rnacentral:rRNA from 1 species
GAUGAACGCUGGCGGCGUGCCUAAUACAUGCAAGUCGAGCGAAAAGACGAUGAGCUUUCUCCUUUAACGUUAGCGGCUGACGGGCGAGUAACAAGUGGAUAACCUACUUCUAUUACUGGGAGAACUACGGGAAACCGGUGCCGAUAAUACAUAAUAUAUCGAACCGGAUGGAUCAAUGGAGAUACACACUUUUGCUGACUCAAUUAGCUGAAUCCGCGCCGUAUUAGCUAGUUGGUAAGGUAACGGCUUACCAAGGCGACGAAGCGUAGCCGACCUGAGAGGAUGAUCGGCCACACUGGAACUGAGACACGGUCCAGACUCCUACGGGAGGCAGCAGUGGGGAAUAUUCGACAAUGGGCGAAAGCUUGACGGAGCAAUGCCGCGUGAGUGAAGAAGGUCUUCGGAUUGUAAAGCUCUGUUAUUGGGAAAGAACAGAUGUGUAUGUAACUAUGGACGUUUUGACGGUACCUAAUGAGAAAGCCACGGCUAACUACGUG